AAGUUUACAGGUUUGAAAAGUCAUGAUUGUCAUAUGAUAAUGCAACAAUUACUUCCAAUUGCGUUACGACGAUCAACACAUCCGAAGGUAACAUCUGUUUUAGUUGAUAUAUGCAAGUAUUUCAACGCGAUUUAGUUGAUAUAUGCAAGUAUUUAGUUGAUAUAUGCAAAACAUGUAUACUCCUGGAGCGUCAUCUUCUAGAGCCGCCGCACCGACUACUCAACUACCAACAACGCAAGAAACACCGACUACGCCACAAGAAGAGCACACCGCUUCGCGCGCAGGUAGAUCGAUAAUAUUUACGAAAGAAGCGCUACGAAAGGUGGUCGGAACUAAGAAGAAGAAAAAGAGCGAAAAAAAGAAGUUAAAUUAGUGACUGUCGAAGUUAAUUUCUGUUAUACAUAAAUUAUUAAAC
rnacentral:lncRNA from 1 species